rnacentral:ncRNA from 1 species
GUAACUCUGGAGAAUCCCGUCAACGGGUGCCGAAGGUGCAACGCAGAUUUCUGCGAAUCUCUCAGGCAAAAGGACAGAGAAUG